UUCAAGGGAUAGUCCUGCCAAAACUGAAAAUGAUGUUAUAUUUACUCGCCCUCAUGUCAUAAUGUUCUGAAGAAUGCCGGUAAUAAACAGUUUUGGUUCCUAUUAACUUC